rnacentral:lncRNA from 1 species
CUGGGUCUCACACUCUGAGUUUCUGUGAAGCGCUUUGAGACCAUUUCUGAUUGUAAAAUGCUCUGUAUAAAUAAAGCUGAACUGAGUUGGGCCCCCACCACACAGAGUGCAGCUUCAUUCUGAGGCCUGUAAAUACCACAGAACAGGCCCCGGGGCCCGAGGUCUCUGAUCCAACACAACAAAACAACUCUGUCAAAGAGCUUUGAUCACAAGUCAAAGUGUGACUCAUCACAGCCUUUUAAAUACUUCAGAAGGGAGGAGGAAACCACACAGACACACACACAGACACACACAGACACACACACAGACCUGUGUGACGAGUUGGCCUGCAUGACUCCCUGCAGCCACACCUGAGUCCUCAGGAGGGUGAGACGAGGGAGGCUUCACCUGCUGGGAGGGAGCACACCUGCAUCUAUAAGAGUGAUCUGUUGCAUCCGAACACACACUCUGCACACACUCUGCACACACUCUGCACACACUCUGCACACACUCUGCACAGCAGCAGUCAUGGCAAACUUUCUGUCCGGCGCGCUGGGGAAGGACGGGAUGGCAAAAAUCGCUGGAGAGAAAGUGGGUGGUCUGGUGGAGACCACGGUAAAGAAGGCCUUGGGUGGAGGUGAGGACAAGAAGAAGCAGGAAGCACAGGGAGGAGGAGGAGGAGCAGGAGGAGGAGCAGGAGGCUUCGAUGUGGGAGAUGCUCUCUCAUUUGUCAGUGGAUCGGAGGGAAAAGAAGGAGGCGUGGACGCCACAAACGUUAUUAAAGGAUUCCUUAAAUAGAAACACAGCUGACUGGCCAACCUCCACCUGCACCCCCUCAGAGGAGCCCCCCCCCCCCCCCCCCCAUAUGAUGGAAAACAUCCAUGAUUUACAGAAAUGAAAACAAACAACAACAUUUUAUAAAAGCAGCAACAUCCUGAAGAAGCUAAUGCUAACCACAUGCUAACCACAUGCUAACCUCUGAUUUGUUGACAUGGUCAUUGUUUGUGUCUGUGACGUGUUUCUAUGAGUCUGCAGUUAUUAAACACUGAAACAUGAA